rnacentral:rRNA from 1 species
AUUGAACGCUGGCGGCAGGCUUAACACAUGCAAGUCGAGCGGGGUGAUGGUGCUUGCACUAUCACUUAGCGGCGGACGGGUGAGUAAUGCUUAGGAAUCUACCUAUUAGUGGGGGACAACAUCGCGAAAGGGAUGCUACUACCGCAUACGUACUACGGGAGAAAGCAGGGGAUCACUUGUGACCUUGCGCUAAUAGAUGAGCAUAAGUCGGAUUAGCUAGUUGGUGGGGUAAAGGCCUACCAAGGCGACGAUCUGUAGCAGGUCUGAGAGGAUGAUCCGCCACACUGGGACUGAGACACGGCCCAGACUCCUACGGGAGGCAGCAGUGGGGAAUAUUGGACAAUGGGGGGAACCCUGAUCCAGCCAUGCCGCGUGUGUGAAGAAGGCCUUAUGGUUGUAAAGCACUUUAAGCGAGGAGGAGGCUCUUUUGGUUAAUACCCAAGAUGAGUGGACGUUACUCGCAGAAUAAGCACCGGCUAACUCUGUGCCAGCCGCCGCGGUAA